GGAAGGCGCCGGCGCCCAGCUGGGUCAAGUUGUUGUAGCUGAGGUCGAGGAACACGAGCUUGGCCGAGCCGCUGAACGUGCCCUCCUCCAGCGAGCGCAGCGAGUUGUUCCUGAAGUCCAGGUGGAGGGUGAGCGAGGCAGGUGGCUGCCAGGGCCCCCGCUGUGGCCUGCAGGGCCAGUCAGCACUUUCCAUGCUGGCCCCGAACUUCUGGAUGGAACUGGCAUCCAUGCAAGGAUCAGCUGCUGGUCUGAGAGGUCCAGCCGCUGAGGCUCUGGACAACGUGAGGGCCGCACGGGGAAGUAUUUGUAUGGGAACAUGAUUUGAAAGGUCUUUGGUGAAAUGUUGCCAAUAAAAGUGGCCACAAAUCUUGCGAUGG
rnacentral:lncRNA from 1 species